GAUGAACGCUGGCGGCGUGCCUAAUACAUGCAAGUCGAGCGAACAGACGAGGGGCUUGCUCCUCUGACGUUAGCGGCGGACGGGUGAGUAACACGUGGAUAACCUACCUAUAAGACUGGGAUAACUUCGGGAAACCGGAGCUAAUACCGGAUAAUAUAUUGAACCGCAUGGUUCAAUAGUGAAAGACGGUUUUGCUGUCACUUAUAGAUGGAUCCGCGCCGCAUUAGCUAGUUGGUAAGGUAACGGCUUACCAAGGCAACGAUGCGUAGCCGACCUGAGAGGGGGAUCGGCCACACUGGAACUGAGACACGGUCCAUACUCCUACGGGAGGCAGCAGUAGGGAAUCUUCCGCAAUGGGCGAAAGCCUGACGGAGCAACGCCGCGCGAGUGAUGAAGGUCUUCGGAUCGUAAAACUCUGUUAUUAGUGAAGAACAAAUGUGUAAGUAACUAUGGACGUCUUGACGGUACCUAAUCAGAAAGCCACGGCUAACUACGUG
rnacentral:rRNA from 1 species